CCGUCGUCAGUUCGUACUGUGAAGCAUCCUGUUAAGUCAGGCAACGAGCGAGACCCACGCCAACAGUUGCCAGCAUGAUCUCCGGAUUGUAUGGGGACACUGUUGGGACCGCCUCUGCUAAAGGGGAGGAAGGAAUGGGCAACGGUAGGUCAGCAUGCCCCGAAUUAUCCGGGCUACACGCGGGCUACAAUGGAUGGGACAAUGGGUUUCGACACCGAAAGGUGAAGGUAAUCUCCUAACCCCACCCGUAGUUCGGAUUGCGGGCUGCAACUCGCCCGCAUGAAGCUGGAAUCCGUAGUAAUCGCGUCUCACGAUGGCGCGGUGAAUAUGUCCCUGCUCCUU
rnacentral:rRNA from 1 species